CUCAGAGCACGGACAGUGUGCUGCAGAGACUCCGGUCAGUCUCUUCCUCCUGACCCAACACCUGCUGUUUCAGUGCUCUCUUCCCUGACAAGACCCCAGAGGGGCUGUAGCGGGAGAGGACUGAUAAUGGAGCCUCAAGAUUUCUGGUGCAGCCACAAUACCCUACAUGCAACCUUGGCCCUCUCUCCCCCAACUCUGGCCUUCAGAUUCCUCACUGUAGAAGCAGCCGGUGAGGGCAAAUAGCAACUUGCUGUUGUUUUACAUGGCACUGUAGAGUUUUAACAGAGACGGAGGUUUGUGACAUUGUACAGGAGACAGGGAUCAAGACCAUCCCCAUGGAAAAGAAAUGCAAAAAAGCAAAAUGGCUGUCUGGGGAGGC
rnacentral:lncRNA from 1 species